AGAAUAGCUCAGUUGGUAGAGCGCGACCUUGCCAAGGUCGAGGUCGCGGGUUCGAAUCCCGUUUCUC
rnacentral:tRNA from 1 species